rnacentral:lncRNA from 10 species
GUAUGUAAUUAUGACUGAAACGGAAAUAUAAUUUUAUCAUUUGGAAAUCUUGUUCUUUGCUCUACUUUUCACUGGCAAUGCUAUAUAUAGACAUACUCACAAGGGAAAUUCCUUGGGUAGAAGGCGAAAAAUAAAAAUCACACUUUCUCUUUUCCUAUUAGUACUAUUAAUGUAAACUCCAAUAAAUAUUCUUUUAUUUAGGGACAUAGAGAAGAUUUACAGAUAUGUUGAUUUUGGUAAAUGAUUAGUGCUGACUUUCAUUGAGUGCUCUUAGCUUGUCACAUUUUUUAAAUCUCACCUAAUCCCUUCAGCUAUCCUAUGAGGUGUGCCUGUGGCGGGGUGGGGGGGGUACUUUUUAAAAAAUAUUAUUAUUAUUCUAUUUUGCAGAUGAAAACAAUAAGGCACAGAGAAGUUAAGUAACUUGCCCAGGGUCUCGCACCUUGUGUAAGAGAUGGAGCUUAGAUUUAAACUCCAUCUGAUUCCAGAGCCACUUUCUUAAUUAUUAUCAUAUUCUGACUCUUCAGUAAAUUGACAUGCCAUAAACUGGUUCCAGCCAACCAGGUGACUGCAUUCUACCUGGGGUUUGGAAAAAAACAAGCUAUGGGGCAGGAGGCUGUAAAACAGGCUGAUGUGCUCAAGCUGAUUAAAUUCCUGUAGUCCAGGCUGGGUGCGGUGGCUCAAGCCUGUAAUCCCAGCACUUUGGGAGGCCAGGGCGGGCGGAUCACUUGAGGCCAGGAGUUCGAGACCAGUCUAGCCAACAUGGCAAAACCCUGUCUCUACUAAAAAUAUAAAAACCUUGAUUUUACUCUUGAUGCUUCUUCUUUAAGAGUUGAAUAUGUUAGAAUGUUGAAACAAGAUAUUAUUACACAAAAUAAUAUCAUUUUGUUUGUUUAAAUAAGUAUUAUCAUUUCCUUUACUUUAUCCAUGUGCGCUGGGUGUCUUUGUAUGCAAAGCAGUGUCCUUAGCCAGCCACGUGCUAUUCCCCCACCUGGUAUACCCUGCCCUCAGCCUACUCCUCACUACUUUGCUAACACCUAUUCAAAUAUAACUUAGAAUAUUAGCUUAAAAUAUCACUUUCCAGAGAAGCUUUUCCUGAACUCCCCUUCUCUCACCCUUUUAAAAUAUAUUCUCGUAUCCUUUUACAUUUUCCUUUCAUAGCCUCUUCCUAGCUUGUAAGCAAAUGUGUGAUUAGCUAUUCAACUGUUGUCUCCCCUGCUAAGAUACAAGUUCCAUGAGGUCAGGGCUUGGGCCUAGCCUAUCUUGUUCAUUACCAUUUCUCCUGUGUUUAGCAGAGGAUUUGUUAUGCUUAAUGUUUGAACAGUGAAUGAACAAAUGAAGGAGACAUCAGUUUUGGUGUCAUGUUGCUUACAUUUUAGGAGUGUUGUAUAAAAGCAUGUAUCUACAGGAUAGGAAACAGGUUUAGAAGGAGAAGGAGCUCAUCAGAGAAGGGGCUUAUCAAGGCCAUAACAUUUGAGCUGGCCCUUGGAGGGUGGGCCAACAAUUCAGAGGGAGACCUCAAGGGUGAAGCACACAGCCAGGCAAGCAGAGCCAGCUGAGUAAAUUGCUGCAGUGUAUUAUAUUUAUUUAGGAAAUAAAAUAAGAAAAGAGUAAAACAGCAAAUGCUUUUUUUUUUUUUUGUGCAGAAGCACUUAGAUAUAGGUUAUCUUUUGGGACCCAAAGCCAAAUGGAAUUGCUUAGCUUUAAGAUAGCUGUCUUCAUGCAUUGAUGAAAAUUAUAAAAGCUGAGAUAGCAAAUAUAAGCUGUGCCUUUGACACAUAGACCAUUCCUCACUGGGAAGAAAGGAAAAGAGCCAUGAAUUUCUGAGAAUAGAUGGGUAAGAUGUUUUCUUUGUUCUUCUGCCUUAUGCUGUUUUUCUAUUCCCAAUGAGAAGGAUGAGGUGGCAGAAUUUCUUAGCUUAGUCAUGAAGUCUUUAAAACCUAGUCCUUCACUUUUGAAGCUCAAAAUCAAUAGAAGAAAUCACACGAAGAUCAAUAGGUUCAACUCCAUAAAAAUUAAAAUUAUGUCAAAACCCCUCACAACCCAAAUUAAAGGUGAACAAUAAGCCAGAAAAAUAUUCACCACAACUCUGAUGGCCAAAUCCAGUUCAGUUCAGUUCAACAUGUACCACUUGUGCAUUCCUAGGUUCCUAGAACCAUGAGGUCCUGAGAGCUGUAAUGUUCAGUAAGACAUCAUGUCUGUUCUUAGAGCUCUGCUGACAGGGCAGCAUGUAAAAGCUGACCAUUCUGAUGCAAUGCUGUAAGUGGGAGAGUUGUGAUAUAUGCGCAAGGAGAAAAGAGGAAGGAAGGGCAUCUGAUCUAGCCUGGGGCUCAGAGAAGGAUCCCUGAAGAGAGGCCUUGGACUAAUAAAAGUUGUGUAGGAGUUAUCCAAGGCAACAAGGAGUAGAGGAGGAGGGUAUUUAAGACAAUGAGAAAAAUGAAUAAAGACAUGGAAAUGCAAAACAUCUUGGUAUGUAUGUGCAUAUUGGGGUGGUUACAAAUUCUUCAGAGUUCUGCAAUAAAGUGUGAAAUUUGGAUUGAUGGAGAUAGGGCUGCUCAGGAAACCUCUCCUUGUUGAGGAUGCAGACAGAUCCAUCCCACUGCCGAGCUCUGGCUACCCUUUCCAGGACAGGAUUGUACUCCUGCGACACCAGUCUCCAGAGGCCUGGUGAUAUUCAAGGUCUUCAUCCCUCUCGGGCACGCCUAACUAACACUCACCUCUUGGAUGAGAUGAUGUCCUCGUGCUGCCCUUCUGCCGACCCUUCCCUGCAAUCGGCCCUGACCUCUCAGAAUGCAGCUUGCCCCAGACUGAUAUAGCUCAUCCCUCAUUGGGUGCAUCUGUGCCCAGCUACCCUGGUUCUGAUGAAGUAAAUAGGACACAUAUGUCACCGUGGAGCCUCAUGAGUCUCUUUAGAUAAAGAUAAAUUUGGAAAAUUGCAAAACUCUCCAGAGACAAUACCUUCCUAAUGAUUUCUGCCUUCUUUGACACCUCAUUGCACUGAUUAAUGGUCAUUCAAAUUGAUCACCUGGCAUAGCUCACUGUCAAAAUAAAAAAGGACAUAUUUUAAAAAGUCAG